GACGAACGCUAGCGGCAGGCCUAAUACAUGCAAGUCGAACGGUGUCUUCGGACAUAGUGGCGCACGGGUGCGUAACACGUAUGCAACCUACCUUACAUUGGGGGAUAGCCUUUCGAAAGGGAGAUUAAUACCGCAUAAGACAGUAGCUGGGCAUCCAGCAGCUGUUAAAGAUUUAUCGAUGUAAGCUGGGCAUGCGUCCAAUUAGCUAGUUGGUGAGGUAACGGCUCACCAAGGCAAUGAUUGGUAGGGGAACUGAGAGGUCAAUCCCCCACACGGGCACUGAGAUACGGGCCAGACUCCUACGGGAGGCAGCAGUAGGGAAUAUUGGGCAAUGGACGCAAGUCUGACCCAGCCAUGCCGCGUGCAGGAUGAAGGCGUUAUGCGUUGUAAACUGCUUUUAUACAGGAAGAAACGACUCUUGCGAGAGGCAUUGACGGUACUGUAUGAAUAAGCACCGGCUAACUCCGUGCCAGCCGCCGCAGUAACAC
rnacentral:rRNA from 1 species